GUGAGUUUCGAGAGCACAGUGUGCAGCCCGCGCAGGUGGUAGUGGAACUGCUGUUCCAGGUCUUCUUCGCCGGCGUCCGCACCCUCCAAGUGGCCCAGGUCCACCAGGAUGUCCUUGGACUUCCAGGCACUGCCCUCCUCGCUCCCAGCCGGUGGAGGCGGCUGGUGCAGGACCCCCCACUCGAUGUCGUUGCGGAUGGACUUGAGAAGCACGUAGUGGCUGUACAUGUCCCGAGAGGGCGCGAAAAAGCUGCCAUUGGCGCUUCCCGAGUCGGGGACUGGGGGCGUGCGCUCCUCCAGGCAGCCGCCACUGCCGCCUACCUCCACGCCAACAUCGUUGUCUAACCCGGGGUCAGCCAGGGGCACGUCGCGCAGCAAGCUGGGCACCAUCACCGUCUGGUCCAUGUUGUUCACGGCGCCAAUGAAGCGAUUCAUGGCGUUAAAGAGCGAGUGCUGAGACUCUCCUGCUCGUUGGCAAUUCAGUGUUCUCGCUGCAAGCGGCUGCUACGCAAGGGCGCUGCUGCGGUCAGUGGCUGGACUGUGACUGCGGACGGCGGUGACUGCGUUGGCCCCCUACCCAUCCCAGGUGCUCAAUUUAUAGUCCAGGAAAGGUGUCGCCGGCGCUCAGGGCCACCCCUGGUGUCUCCUCCUCCCGCCUCCCCCGGCAGCACCGAGAUAAAAGGCUCAUCUAUCUUUUGUAGUGUGGAAUCAUGAUUGGGACCUUGAAUCUU
rnacentral:lncRNA from 1 species